rnacentral:rRNA from 1 species
CCUACGGGAGGCAGCAGUGGGGAAUAUUGCACAAUGGGGGAAACCCUGAUGCAGCGACGCCGCGUGAGUGAAGAAGUAUUUCGGUAUGUAAAGCUCUAUCAGCAGGGAAGAAAAUGACGGUACCUGAGUAAGAAGCACCGGCUAACGACGUGCCAGCCGCCGCGGUAAUACGUAGGGGGCAAGCGUUAUCCGGGUUUACUGGGUGUAAAGGGAGCGUAGACGGCAGCGCAAGUCUGAAGUGAAAUGCCGGGGCUUAACCCCGGAACUGCUUUGGAAACUGUGCAGCUAGAGUGCAGGAGCGGUAAGUGGAAUUCCUAGUGUAGCGGUGAAAUGCGUAGAUAUUAGGAGGAACACCAGUGGCGAAGGCGGCUUACUGGACUGUAACUGACGUUGCGGCUCGAAAGCGUGGGGAGCAAACAGGAUUAGAUACCCGGGUAGUC